GACGAACGCUGGCGGCGCGCCUAACACAUGCAAGUCGAACGAGCGAGAGAGAGCUUGCUUUCUCAAGCGAGUGGCGAACGGGUGAGUAACGCGUGAGGAACCUGCCUCAAAGAGGGGGACAACAGUUGGAAACGACUGCUAAUACCGCAUAAGCCCACAGGUCGGCAUCGACCAGAGGGAAAAGGAGCAAUCCGCUUUGAGAUGGCCUCGCGUCCGAUUAGCUAGUUGGUGAGGUAACGGCCCACCAAGGCAACGAUCGGUAGCCGGACUGAGAGGUUGAACGGCCACAUUGGGACUGAGACACGGCCCAGACUCCUACGGGAGGCAGCAGUGGGGAAUAUUGCACAAUGGGGGAAACCCUGAUGCAGCGACGCCGCGUGGAGGAAGAAGGUCUUCGGAUUGUAAACUCCUGUUGUUGAGGAAGAUAAUGGCGGUACUCAACAAGGAAGUGACGGCUAACUACGU
rnacentral:rRNA from 1 species